ACAGAGGUCCCAAGCGUUGUUCGGAUUCACUGGGCGUAAAGGGUGCGUAGGUGGUUGGGUAAGUCUGAUGUGAAAUCUCCGAGCCUAACUCGGAAACUGCAUCGGAUACUAUUCGGCUAGAGGAUUGGAGGGGGGACUGGAAUACUUGGUGUAGCAGUGAAAUGCGUAGAUAUCAAGUGGAACACCAGUGGCGAAGGCGAGUCCCUGGACAACUCCUGACACUGAGGCACGAAAGCUAGGGGAGCAAACAGGAUUAGAUACCCUGGUAGUCCUAGCUGUAAACGGUGCACGUUUGCUGUAAAAGGAAUCGACCCCUUUUGUGGCGAAGCUAACGCGUUAAACGUGCCGCCUGGGAAGUACGGUCGCAAGAUUA
rnacentral:rRNA from 1 species